GUCGAUAGCCAUACCACCCUGAACCUGCCUGAUCUCAUCUGAUCUCAGAAGUUAAACAGGUUCAGGUCUGGUUAGUACUCAGAUGGGAGAAUAGAAUGAUAGAUACCAGAGACA
rnacentral:rRNA from 1 species